CAAGUACUCCCUUCGUCCGGAAUUACUUGUCAUCAAAAUGGAUGUGUCUAGAACUAAAAUACAUCUAGAUACAUCCAUUUCAAUGACAAGUAUUUUCGGAUGGAGGGAGUACAAG
rnacentral:pre_miRNA from 1 species